CAAAGUUUCUAUUUAUAAUCCUGCCAGUAUCCUGGCAGGACAAUUUUUCUUUUGUCUUUGAUCAUGCAUAUAAUGUUAGUAAAAGGGCAGAAGUGUGAUGUUCUUGAUUACAGUGAGAACUACCCUAGCUACAAGUAGCUGUGUUCGUGUAGCAAAGUACUACUCAGCACUACUUUGCAAAGUAACUCUCAGCAGCAUCCAGCACUACGGAAUAAAAGCGCUGCCUCUAUGGCUGGUCUCAAUGGAAGAAAUAGGGCAGAAGUCAUAAUCUGAGAGGGGAUUAAUCUACACAGAAAGGGCAGAUACAUUGGCUGGUGCUUGUGAAAAUGGAAGCAUUGAAAAAAAAUUAUCUUCUGCAAUUAGGUCCAUGUUGGGCAAUCCAGCCUGCCUCACCUGCCAAAGUCAGAAGUGGUCAUAUCUGCACAAAGUGAUAAUUUUUCUAUCCCUUUUCUUGUCAAGAUGGAGUCAAUCAUCACGUGACAGACCACCCAUGUGUAAAAAGAUGUAUGUCUGGUGGGAGCUGAUAUGGAACCUGCAGAUGGGCUUACUGGCUUUGAAAAGCAGAGAUGAGCAUUUUUCCCAGCUCCUUGUCCCAGCUGUGAAUCCUUCUCAGUGCUAAGGGCCUAAGAACCAAGCCCUUCCCUUUCUAAGUCACAGCAGAAAGCAUGUGUGUGUGUGUGUGCCUGACAUAAGAAAGUUGUAAAAGUCUUCUACCUGUGGAAGUAAGUUCAGUGAUGCCAGCCUGCAGGGACACAGGUCUGGAGAUGUGAAGUGUGAUGGUGCCGGCCACAGGAAUACUGCCUGAGGUGAGAGAUUCCAGUAAUUUUCCUUGCUGUUAUGGGAAAUGUCAUCUGUAAUUCCAGUUUUGGCAGGUUUAUCUGUAAUUAUUUGCCUGUUGGACACACCUUUUGCUGGAACAAGACACUGCCCCUCUGGCUGUGAUUUGGCAGAUAUCAGCAGUGCUGCUGCUUUUGUGCUAACACUGGCAUCUGCACAGCUCUGCAUGGGAAAAGAGCAUGGAACGAACUUUUUUUUUUUUUUUUUUUUUUAACAACAACAGCAAAACACCCCAACAUCCAAGUCUAUUUUUUUAGCUGGAUCAGAUCCUUGUGCUGAAUAAGUGAAUGGUUGUGGAAAUCCUUGUGCCAGCAUGCAGGUGGGCAGCAGGUGCCCUGGAAAAGGAGGGGUGUUGACUUCUUCAGGCAACUUCUUGAGGCACAAGGCCAGGGAGAAUUGAAUCUUGUGAUCGUAAGCUGCAAAAGACAGCGCUGCAGGCAGAACACCGGGGCUGGCUCAGCAAUCCCUCCAAGCCCAGGCAAAGCCUUGAUGUGCUAAAUGCAAAGCUAAAGACUUUUUCUUUGGUACUGACUUGCCUACUUCCUCUCAGCAGCAGCACUAAACACAACUUGCUGUCAGUGUAUACACAGGACCAUAUUUCUAACACCUCUGCCACCAUUCAGUAUGUGAAUUGUGUUCUGGCACACAUUUUAAAAUAGCUUUAUCAGCACUGCAUUAGCAUGUAGACAGCUCAAGAUAAUAUCUGAAAAACCUGUGAGCAGACAAACCCUAAAAUUAGUAUGCCUUGCUGUAGAUUUGGCCUGAAGACGGGUAAAAACCUGAUCUGUACCAGUCAAACUGCAGUUCAGCUUUAGCUCCACAGCUGUACAGGCAUGCUUGGUCUGGUACUCAGCAGCCACCUUUCCUGCACCUGUGAUCCAAGGCUGAGAUGUGGGUAGGUCCUUCUUUAUGGUGACAUGACUCUUUUUAAACCAAGAUUCUAACUUACAAAAGGAUUUUCACAAGGUUUGUGGUGUUGAAAGUUUGUUUCUUAAAAUCACCUCUUCUGAGAAAUUCUGACAUCAGAAUAUGAUUAACUGUGCUGUUCCUGUUGUAUCUUGUUUCAGGAAGUCAACAGUAGUGCCAUGGAAGCGGGAGGGUAUUACUUUACAUAGUACACAGAUUUAAUUUCAAGAUGUAUGCUGACAACCUAUGCUAUUCUCUUUGUCAUAAUAAAACAAGGUAAUUAAGUUUAGAAAACCUCAAAUAAUCUUUUUACUUGAUCUUCAGAGCUUAUGUUAAUACUUUUGCAUUCAGAAAGACACAUUUUUUGCUUGUGCUGUGACAGUGGAGAGCUACUGGCCUUAUAGGUGCUUUAUUGUAUGAAUGGCUCUGUGCUGGACAUUUUAUCUCUCUGUUACUACAAAGUUAGACCCUGAAGUCUGUACCUGUAUACAUUUUUUGUUCCAGCACAGUUUUCUGUGAAGUCACAAGAUUUUUUUUCCAAAUAGAACUGAUUAAAUAUGUCAGGAAUUAGACUUCUAUUUGUUUAGUGCCAAUUGUUUGUUCAGUGCUGUCAGUAAAUAAUUGUUUCCAUCUCAGGCAUUUAAAAUGCUUUAUAUAGUCUAGUGCCUACAAACUAGCUCAAGUAACUCCAUUUUUUUUUUUCAUGAAAGACUUUUUCAGUUUUUCUCUAGGACUGUAAAAAUAAACAUAAUUUCAGGAUGGGAUUUCAAAAUAUUUG